UUACUUACUAAGCUGUGGUAAAACAUUACAUAACCUAAACCUAACCCUACUUUUUGUUCUGGAAACUCGAAAAGCCCCUAUGCCCCAAAAAGACCCCUGCAAGCGGUUUGCCUGUAAAAUUCAAGAGUGUCUUUCAGCGAACAACUACCAAGAAUCCGCGUGCAGAGAAGCCUUCGAGGAGAUGAGACAAUGCUGCAUUAAGUGGAAGGAGCAUAGUUUCGUUUGUCAGGGCGUGAAAACGGAAACCCCGUACACGAUUAGCACGACGACGUCAUGAAUUACCGCGACAAGAUCAAGAAGCAAACCUGGAUCCAUCGUAACCCGAGAAUAUUCGUUUGGGUUACCACAGUUACGGCUGUCAGCAUCUUGUUUUCGCGUGUGAUUUACGAUUCGAUCUACACCCGCGAUCUUCCCAGCCU